CCGGCGGUACGGCGGGCGGCCCGGCGUCCGGUCUUCCCGCGGCCGGCCGAGCCGUCCGCCGGGUCGUGCGUCGAGCCGUACGCCGCCGGG
rnacentral:tRNA from 1 species